CUGUAGGCAGAGUUAACCCUCCUGCUCUGGGAGGACGCCAGAGCCAGACAACGAGAAUCCUUAAUGGAGCGGUUCGCGUUGACAGCUGUGAUGGACUCUUUCCGCUACCGACCCAACAGACCUGCAGCUCUCCCAGGAACAGAACCUCAUUUCUGUACUAGGGCAGAGAACCCAUGAUAGCAGGAGGGGAGGCCCCUCCCCAGCCUUAGGGGCCAGCAAACCCAUUCCCCUUCACCAGGAAUUGUUUUACGAUGGGCAUAGGAUCCACUUCUGGCCAAUGAUGUAUACAGGGAAGUCUUCCUUCCCAGGACAAAAAGCAUCAUUAGAAGAAACUUUUUGGCUUUCUUUGUCCCUUCUUUCUUGUUGGGGAUGUUUACGUGAGGACAUGAUGCCUGAGCUGUGACAGCCAUCCGGCUAUCACGAAGAAACAGCCAUGAAGAUAAAAAGCCAAUUCUCGGAGGAUGGAGGUCCCGGAAGAAGAGAGAGAACCUGGUUCCUGAGGCAUCGUUGAGCAGCUGAACCAACACGGGGCCGGCCCGGUGGCGCAGCAGUUAAGUUGGCACAUUCCACUUCUCGGCAGCCCAGGGUUCACUGGUUCGGAUCCCAGGUGCAGACAUGGCACCACUUGGCAAAAGCCAUGCUGUGGUAGGCAUUCCACGUAUAAAAUAGAGGAAGA
rnacentral:lncRNA from 1 species